UACAGAGGGUGCGAGCGUUGUUCGGAAUUAUUGGGCGUAAAGAGCGCGCAGGCGGUCGUUCAAGUCGAGUGUGAAAGCCCCCGGCUCAACUGGGGAGGGUCAUUCGAUACUGAUCGACUUGAAGGCAGGAGAGGGAAGUGGAAUUCCCGGUGUAGUGGUGAAAUGCGUAGAUAUCGGGAGGAACACCAGUGGCGAAGGCGACUUCCUGGCCUGUUCUUGACGCUGAGGCGCGAAAGCUAGGGGAGCAAACGGG
rnacentral:rRNA from 1 species